rnacentral:ncRNA from 1 species
CUAAGUGCGAUGAUGAGGAAGAGUAAUCACAGGCUAGCUGACAGAGAAGGGAAGCCAGUGGCUGAAAGCUUCCCCCAGAGGAGCGGUGAUGAAAACCACCUCGGAGCUGCCCGCUGAAAGUGGAGUAAGCGUGGCCGGGGCACCGUUAUCUGCAUUGAGUGGGCUGCUUAGGCAGCCAAUUUGGGUGGAACCACGGCAACCUCGUCCCAAGA